GCCUGCGUAGCAGUCGCUUUAUUUUUUGAAGGUUUUGGGAAUAUCUCAAUAUUGAGGAUUUUUUUAAUAAAUGGCGGGAUAGAAAAAAAACCUCAACACCUUCAAAAAAUAAAGCGACUGCUACGCAGGC